rnacentral:rRNA from 1 species
AUACAUGCAGUCGAGCGAAUGGAUUAAGAGCUUGCUCUUAUGAAGUUAGCGGCGGACGGGUGAGUAACACGUGGGUAACCUGCCCAUAAGACUGGGAUAACUCCGGGAAACCGGGGCUAAUACCGGAUAACAUUUUGAACCGCAUGGUUCGAAAUUGAAAGGCGGCUUCGGCUGUCACUUAUGGAUGGACCCGCGUCGCAUUAGCUAGUUGGUGAGGUAACGGCUCACCAAGGCAACGAUGCGUAGCCGACCUGAGAGGGUGAUCGGCCACACUGGGACUGAGACACGGCCCAGACUCCUACGGGAGGCAGCAGUAGGGAAUCUUCCGCAAUGGACGAAAGUCUGACGGAGCAACGCCGCGUGAGUGAUGAAGGCUUUCGGGUCGUAAAACUCUGUUGUUAGGGAAGAACAAGUGCUAGUUGAAUAAGCUGGCACCUUGACGGUACCUAACCAGAAAGCCACGGCUAACUACGUGCCAGCAGCCGCGGUAAUACGUAGGUGGCAAGCGUUAUCCGGAAUUAUUGGGCGUAAAGCGCGCGCAGGUGGUUUCUUAAGUCUGAUGUGAAAGCCCACGGCUCAACCGUGGAGGGUCAUUGGAAACUGGGAGACUUGAGUGCAGAAGAGGAAAGUGGAAUUCCAUGUGUAGCGGUGAAAUGCGUAGAGAUAUGGAGGAACACCAGUGGCGAAGGCGACUUUCUGGUCUGUAACUGACACUGAGGCGCGAAAGCGUGGGGAGCAAACAGGAUUAGA